CGCCUGUUUAUCAAAAACAUCUCUUCUCGUUAGUUUUUGAAGUAUGGCCUGCCCACUGACCUUGAAUGUUGAAGGGCCGCGGUAUUUUGACCGUGCAAAGGUAGCAUAGUCAUUAGUUCUUUAAUUGUGAUCUGGUAUGAAUGGCUUGACGAGGCAUGAGCUGUCUUAAUUUUGAAUUGUUUAUUGAAUUUGGUCUUUGAGUUAAAAUUCUUAGAUGUUUUUAUGGGACGAGAAGACCCUAUAGAGUUUGACAUUUAUUAUGGUCUCUUUCUGUUUGUGAGGGUUCACUAGGGCUGUCUAAUAUGUUUUGUUGGGGUGAUGGGAGGGAUAUUAUUUAACCCCUCCUUUGUGUUGUUAUAUUUAUUUAUAUUUGCUUGAUCCAUUUAUUUUGAUUGUAAGAUUAAAUUACCUUAGGGAUAACAGCGUAA
rnacentral:rRNA from 1 species